rnacentral:piRNA from 1 species
UGACUACUAUAUAUAUGGGUGUUUUAGC